UUCCAGAUAACACUGAAUUCGGAUGAGUGCUUGAGAGGACUCGACUUCUAGCACCAUUUGAAUUCAGUGCAUCUGGCA
rfam:Trichinella papuae scaffold30s, whole genome shotgun sequence.